rnacentral:rRNA from 1 species
GCUUAACGCGAAGAACCUUACCAAGAUUUGACAUCCCGGGAAAGCUCUGGAAACAGAGCCGUGCCGAAAGGAGCCCGGUGACAGAUGCUGCACGGUUGUCGUCAGCUCGUGCUGUGAAGUGUCCCGUUCAGUCGGUUAACGAGCGCAACCCUCAUCCUGUGUUGUAUUUUUCACAGGAAACUGCCCCAGUUAAUGGGGAGGAAGGUGGGGAUGACGUCAAAUCAGCGUGGCUCUUACAUCUUGGGCGACACACGCGCUACAAUGGGAAGUAACAAUGGGUUGCCAAGCCGUGAGGCGGAGCUAAUCCCAGCAAACCCUUCCCCACGUUCGGUAGUGGUAGGCGUGCAACUACGCCUCCACUGAAGACCGGAACGUACGCUAGUAACGGA